rnacentral:rRNA from 1 species
GAUGAACGCUAGCGACAGGCCUAACACAUGCAAGUCGAGGGGCAGCACGAAGUAAGCUUGCUUACUUUGGUGGCGACCGGCGCACGGGUGCGUAACAGGUGUGCAAUCUGUCCAUAAUCGGGGAAUAGCCCAGCGAAAGUUGGAUUAAUGCUCCAUGUGAGCCGAGGAGGCAUCUCUUUGGUUUGAAACGCACGGAUUAUGGGUGAGAACGCUUCUGAUUAGGUAGUUGGUGAGGUAACGGCUCACCAAGCCGACGAUCAGUAGGGGUUCUGGGAGGAAGGUCCCCCACAUUGGAACUGAGACACGGUCCAAACUCCUACGGGAGGCAGCAGUGAGGAAUAUUGGUCAAUGGACGGAAGUCUGAACCAGCCAAGUCGCGUGAAGGAUGAAGGUUCUAUGGAUUGUAAACUUCUUUUGUCUGAGGGUAAAACAGCGGACGUGUCCGUUCUUGCAAGUAUCAGACGAAUAAGCAUCGGCUAACUCCGUGCCAGCAGCCGCCGUAACAC